UCGCGUGGGUAAUAUCCUGCGUGGAGACGGUACCGGAAUAAGAAGCACCGGCUAACUACGUGCCAGCAGCCGCGGUAAUACGUAGGGUGCGAGCGUUAAUCGGAAUUACUGGGCGUAAAGCGUGCGCAGGCGGUUUUUUAAGAUAGGCGUGAAAUCCCCGGGCUCAACCUGGGAACUGCGCUUAUGACUGGAAGACUCGAGUAUGGCAGAGGGGGGUGGAAUUCCACGUGUAGCAGUGAAAUGCGUAGAGAUGUGGAGGAACACCGAUGGCGAAGGCAGCCCCCUGGGCCAAUACUGACGCUCAUGCACGAAAGCGUGGGGAGCAAACAGGAUUAGAUACCCUGGUAGUCCACGCCCUAAACGAUGUCAACUAGUUGUUGGGAGGGUAAAACUUUUA
rnacentral:rRNA from 1 species